AAACUAACCAGGAUUCCCCUAGUAACGGCGAGCGAACCGGGAAGAGCCCAACGUGAGAAUCUCCAGCUUUCAGCUGGCGAAUUGUAGUCUAUAGAAGCCGUCUUUGUGUCGCCUCGGGUCCAAGUUCCCUGGAAAGGGACGUCGGAGAGGGUGAGAACCCCGUGGGCCCCGAGUGUCGUCACCCCACGAGACGCUCUCGCAGAGUCGGGUUGCUUGGGAAUGCAGCCCAAAGCAGGUGGUAAAUCCCAUCUAAGGCUAAAUAUCGACGGGAGACCGAUAGCGAACAAGUACCGCGAGGGAAAGAUGAAAAGAACUUUGAAAAGAGAGUCAAAAAGUGCUUGAAAUUGUUGAGAGGGAAGCGAUUGGAAGCCGCGGGUGGGCCCUGGUGCUGGUGUCCGGCGCGAGCCGGGCGCUGCCCACGCAGGGCCCUGGUCAGCAUGGGUUGGGCGGGAGGGAAAACCCCUGGGCUCGACCCCCAGGCCCCGCCUCCUGCCCGACCGAGGAAUCAAGGGCGCCGCCGCUCCGUCGGUGGUUUUCUGAACACUGCGCCCCUGAGRAUGCUGGCAGAAGGUGUCUNNUCGGC
rnacentral:rRNA from 1 species